UACGUAGGAUGCAAGCGUUGUCCGGAAUUAUUGGGCGUAAAGAGCGCGCAGGCGGUAACUCAAGUCAGAUGUGAAAUAUCCGGGCUUAACCCGGAGGGGUCAUUUGAAACUGGGUAACUAGAGUACAGCAGAGGAUAGCGGAAUUCCCGGUGUAGUGGUGAAAUGCGUAGAUAUCGGGAGGAACACCAGUGGCGAAGGCGGCUAUCUGGGCUGAAACUGACGCUGAGGCGCGAAGGCUAGGGGAGCAAACAGG
rnacentral:rRNA from 1 species